AUUAUAUAAUUGGUGAUUCCAUUGAAACUUUCAAGAGAUUUCACAACAAAUAUUUUUGUGAAAAAAAAGAUAUGAUUAUUUCUUGGACUCGGCUAACCUACGGCCGGCCUUAAAACCAAUCCUGGUACGGCCUUACUAUUUUUGGAAAUAAAAAAUACUGACUUCCUAAUCUGGCAAUUCCAGACCCGCCGGGUGCUUUUGGCGCCAACCAGUGAUGCUCCGGGCCACCCGUCGCUAAAAUAAAAAGCAAAAAAGAGCAUCCAGCAGGGUCCGCUUCCCUUGCACCCCCCGUUUCCUCCCCAAUAAAAUACCCAGGCAACAAAGACAAGACGACAAGAUCUUGUUCCCUCCAGACGCCGCCUCCAUGACAGGUUCCUCCCUGCCCGUCGCCGCCUGACAACACGAAGGCGACAAGCAAGAUUGCUCAACCAG
rnacentral:lncRNA from 1 species